rnacentral:rRNA from 1 species
GACGAACGCUGGCGGCGUGCUUAACACAUGCAAGUCGAACGCUGAAGCUCAGCUUUUGUUGGGUGGAUGAGUGGCGAACGGGUGAGUAACACGUGAGUAACCUGCCCCCUUCUUUGGGAUAACGCCCGGAAACGGGUGCUAAUACUGGAUAUUCACUGGUCUUCGCAUGGGGGUUGGUGGAAAGGGUUUUUCUGGUGGGGGAUGGGCUCGCGGCCUAUCAGCUUGUUGGUGGGGUGAUGGCCUACCAAGGCUUUGACGGGUAGCCGGCCUGAGAGGGUGACCGGUCACAUUGGGACUGAGAUACGGCCCAGACUCCUACGGGAGGCAGCAGUGGGGAAUAUUGCACAAUGGGCGCAAGCCUGAUGCAGCGACGCCGCGUGAGGGAUGGAGGCCUCCGGGUUGUGAACCUCUUUCGCUCAUGGUCAAGCCGCAACAAUGGUUGUGGUGGGGGUAGUGGGUAAAGAAGCGCCGGCUAACUACGUG